GCACAAGCGGUGGAGCAUGUGGCUUAAUUCGACGCAACGCGAAGAACCUUACCAAGGCUUGACAUACACCGGAAACGGCCAGAGAUGGUCGCCCCCUUGUGGUCGGUGUACAGGUGGUGCAUGGCUGUCGUCAGCUCGUGUCGUGAGAUGUUGGGUUAAGUCCCGCAACGAGCGCAACCCUUGUUCUGUGUUGCCAGCAUGCCCUUCGGGGUGAUGGGGACUCACAGGAGACUGCCGGGGUCAACUCGGAGGAAGGUGGGGACGACGUCAAGUCAUCAUGCCCCUUAUGUCUUGGGCUGCACACGUGCUACAAUGGCAGGUACAAUGAGCUGCGAAGCCGUGAGGCGGAGCGAAUCUCAAAAAGCCUGUCUCAGUUCGGAUUGGGGUCUGCAACUCGACCCCAUGAAGUCGGAGUUGCUAGUAAUCGCAGAUCAGCAUUGCUGCGGUGAAUACGUUCCCGGGC
rnacentral:rRNA from 1 species